rnacentral:tRNA from 1 species
AAGAUAGUUACACAAGAACUGCUAACUCUUGUUUCCAUACGUGAAAGUAUGGCUCUCUUG